rnacentral:lncRNA from 1 species
CUCUCCAUAAUGCUCAUGCUAUUGACCACACAAGUUUUCACUAUCUUGACUAUUCAGUUCUUUGUUUUUAAAUCCUGCUGUUUGUAGAAUCAGAUAUUUAGUAUAAUUUUGAAAAUUCAUCUCAGAAAGUUGACGACCUUCCAUCAAGAUUUGGUUUGGUUAUAAACUACUAACUGAAGGUUUAAGUGAUUUUUAAAAAAUAAUUCAAACCAGAGAAUACGGAUGAAUAAACAUUUUUGCCACCAUCAAACAAAAAUUCAUCUGACACAUUAGAAAGCUUGAUUAUAGUUCUGAAAUACAGACUUUAGAAGCAGACAAAACAUAAUUCAAAGCACUAAUAGUUCACAAUGUUGAUUCCAAUGACCUCAUUAGCACAGAAUCCAAGAACAUUGAUGUGUUAAAGAAAAUUUACUAUCCAUCUGUCCUUAUUAGUGAAUCAUGAGAUAAUUGCCUUAAUGAUGAAUUUACAAAUGAAAAGUUUCACAACAUUUCAAUUCUAAAUUAAUUCUUUGAGAAUAGUAUCUAAUUCUUUUCCUCAUACUAGUGGACAUUUACCAAUCUGCAUAGUCACUUCUAUGACUUCAGAAAGACAGAGAUUAAAAAGGAACUCGUUAGACAUCAACUUAAAAGAUUCUUCAUAUACAUAUGGAUAUAAAAUGAAAACAAGAUCAAAAUCUUUCCCUGUUCACGUUCAUAUUCAACGGUAUAGUUCUUCAACAGAACUGAAGCCAAAUGUACCCAUCUGAUAUGAAAACAAAAACUGCUUCUCACAAUGUCUUUGACUCUGACACAGACAGCAGCUAUGAAAAGAAAAACCUUUAGAACACACAACUUUACACAGACCUCUAGUGUCUAUCAGUUCCCAGUCAUUUGAAAUUUUGUUAGAAUCUCUCUCAUUUCUGAAUAUUCUAGGGUCUUCAGAUUGUAAAGAAAACAACAAAGUUACUGAGAAAUGGGUUAGAAAGCAAAGUUAAUGAAUAUGGUGUUGUAUUUCUAAUGCAGCCCAAUGCUUAAUCAGACUGUAAUUCUGAACAAAUACUGUUUAA